AUUGAACGCUGGCGGCAGGCCUAACACAUGCAAGUCGAGCGAGCGGCGGACGGGUGAGUAAUGUAUGGGGAACUGCCUGAUGGAGGGGGAUAACUACUGGAAACGGUAGCUAAUACCGCAUACCAUCAGAUGUGCCCAUAUGGGAUUAGCUAGUUGGUGGGGUAACGGCUUACCUAGGCGACGAUCCAUAGCUGGUCUGAGAGGAUGAUCAGCCACACUGGGACUGAGACACGGCCCAGACGCCUACGGGAGGCAGCAGUGGGGAAUAUUGCACAAUGGGCGCAAGCCUGAUGCAGCCAUGCCGCGUGUAUGAAGAAGGCCUUCGGGUUGUAAAGUACUUUCAGUCGGGAGGCGUUACCGACAGAAGAAGCACCGGCUAACUCCGUGCCAGCAGCCGCGGUAAUAC
rnacentral:rRNA from 1 species